rnacentral:piRNA from 1 species
UAUGUGAAAAGAAGAGAGAUGACUGUUGGU